GACGAACGCUGGCGGCGUGCUUAACACAUGCAAGUCGAACGGAAAGGCCCUGCUUUUGUGGGGUGCUCGAGUGGCGAACGGGUGAGUAACACGUGAGUAACCUGCCCUUGACUUUGGGAUAACUUCAGGAAACUGGGGCUAAUACCGGAUAGGAGCUCCUGCUGCAUGGUGGUGGUUGGAAAGUUUCGGCGGUUGGGGGUGGACUCGCGGCUUAUCAGCUUGUUGGUGGGGUAGUGGCUUACCAAGGCUUUGACGGGUAGCCGGCCUGAGAGGGUGACCGGCCACAUUGGGACUGAGAUACGGCCCAGACUCCUACGGGAGGCAGCAGUGGGGAAUAUUGCACAAUGGGCGGAAGCCUGAUGCAGCAACGCCGCGUGCGGGAUGACGGCCUUCGGGUUGUAAACCGCUUUCGCCUGUGACGAAGCGUGAGUGACGGUAAUGGGUAAAGAAGCACCGGCUAACUACGUG
rnacentral:rRNA from 1 species